GUAUUCAGGUAAUCGCUGCAGCUUCUGCUGUAGAGGAAAGUCCAUGCUCACACGGAUCUGAGAUGACCGUAGUGUUCGUGCUCGGUGAAAAAAUAAGCCGGGGCAAUGCUUUUGCAUUGAUGGCGGGAAUAACUCCUAAGUCUUCGGAUAUGGACCAGAUUCCCUGAAAGUGCCACAGUGACGUAGCCGGCAUGGAAACAUGUCGGGUGGAACGGGUAAACCCCACGAGUGAGAAACCCAAAUUAUGGUAGGGGCGUUCUUCCGAAAGAAUUCAAUGGAGGAAGGAACAGACAAUUGUCUGUAGAUAGAUGAUUACCGCUUCAAGUACGAGGCGCAAGCCGUUUGAGUACCGAAGAACAAAACAUGGCUUACAGAA
rfam:Sporosarcina sp. P33, complete genome.